UGUCUAGGCGGUCAGGUAAGUGAGAUGUGAAAUGCCCCGGCUUACCCGGGGACCUGCAUCUCAUACUGUCUGGCUUGAGUAUGGGAGAGGAUGAGGGAAUUCCUGGUGUAGCGGUGAAAUGCGUAGAUAUCAGGAGGAACACCGGUGGCGAAAGCGCUCAUCUGGCCCAAUACUGACGCUGAAGCACGAAAGCUAGGGGAGCAAACG
rnacentral:rRNA from 1 species